UUGGGUUUAUGAGAACAGCUUCAAGUCAUUUCUUGUUGCUGUGGUUGUUCCUGACAGAAAGGCCUUGGAGGACUGGGCAGCUGAGCAUCAUUUGACUGAUGACUACAAAUCAUUGUGUCGAAACAUGAAGGCAAGAAAAUACAUUUUGGAUGAGCUCAAUAGUAUGGCUUCGAGGGUUUGAGUUGUUAAAAGCAGUUCAUUUGGAGCCAAACCCCUUUGACAUAGAGAGGGAUCUCAUGACUCCAACUUUCAAACUGAAAAGACCGCAAUUACUCAAAUAUUACAAGGACCAAGUUGAAAAACUUUGUAGUGGAGCGAAGGGUGGAAAAUUAUAAGAACAGAGCUGGAAGCAACUAUUGGAUAAAUCUAGCUACAUCACUUUCCCAAAAUUUCGAUUGCCUGAUCUUUUGUUGAUGAAAAACUACAUACGACUGUAAAAGAAUAUCUAGCCGGGAUUUACCCAUAUUGACAUUUGUUCUUAGUUUGUGUAUAGAUAAGUAAAGAUCGUAUGAAAUUUUAAUGUUUAUUCUUUCAUCCAAGAUAAAAUAUUUCUUGUUUAUUCUAGAAUUCGUGUUGAUCCCAAAUGUUGUGCUUGCAUUUAACGAGGUGUAACAUUUAGUUGAUCAUUUCAGAUGAUGAAAUUAGUGUGCUACUUACUCCGAAA